rnacentral:rRNA from 1 species
UACGAGGGGAGCUAGCGUUGUUCGGAAUUACUGGGCGUAAAGGGCGUGUAGGCGGUAUCAUAAGUCAGAUGUGAAAGCCCUAGGCUUAACCUAGGAGGUGCAUUUGAUACUGUGAAACUAGAGAUCGAGAGAGGAAAGUGGAAUUACGAGUGUAGAGGUGAAAUUCGUAGAUAUUCGUAAGAACACCGAUGGCGAAGGCAGCUUUCUGGCUCGAUACUGACGCUAAGGCGCGAAAGCGUGGGGAGCAAACAGG